rnacentral:rRNA from 1 species
GAUGAACGCUGGCGGCGUGCCUAAUACAUGCAAGUCGAGCGAACAGACGAGGAGCUUGCUCCUCUGACGUUAGCGGCGGACGGGUGAGUAAUACGUGGAUAACCUACCUAUAAGACUGGGAUAACUUCGGGAAACCGGAGCUAAUACCGGAUAAUAUAUUGAACCGCAUGGUUCAAUAGUGAAAGACGGUUUUGCUGUCACUUAUAGAUGGAUCCGCGCCACAUUAGCUAGUUGGUAAGGUAACGGCUUACCAAGGCAACGAUGCGUAGCCGACCUGAGAGGGUGAUCGGCCACACUGGAACUGAGACACGGUCCAGACUCCUACGGGAGGCAGCAGUAGGGAAUCUUCCGCAAUGGGCGAAAGCCUGACGGAGCAACGCCGCGUGAGUGAUGAAGGUCUUCGGAUCGUAAAACUCUGUUAUUAGGGAAGAACAAAUGUGUAAGUAACUAUGCACGUCUUGACGGUACCUAAUCAGAAAGCCACGGCUAACUACGUG